rnacentral:rRNA from 1 species
UACGUAGGGUGCGAGCGUUGUCCGGAAUUAUUGGGCGUAAAGAGCUCGUAGGCGGUGUGUCGCGUCGGCCGUGAAAACCUGGGGCUCAACUCUGGGCGUGCGGUCGAUACGGGCAUCACUUGAGUUCGGCAGGGGAGACUGGAAUUCCUGGUGUAGCGGUGAAAUGCGCAGAUAUCAGGAGGAACACCGGUGGCGAAGGCAGGUCUCUGGGCCAAAACUGACGCUGAGGAGCGAAAGCGUGGGGAGCGAACAGG